rnacentral:rRNA from 1 species
AACAGGAUUAGAUACCCUGGUAGCCCACGCUGUAAACGAUGUCGACUUGGAGGUUGUGCCCUUGAGGCGUGGCUUCCGGAGCUAACGCGUUAAGUCGACCGCCUGGGGAGUACGGCCGCAAGGUUAAAACUCAAAUGAAUUGACGGGGGCCCGCACAAGCGGUGGAGCAUGUGGUUUAAUUCGAUGCAACGCGAAGAACCCUACCUACUCUUGACAUCCAGAGAAUUUGCUAGAGAUAGCUUAGUGCCUCCGGGAACUCUGAGACAGGUGCUGCAUGGCUGUCGUCAGCUCGUGUUGUGAAAUGUUGGGUUAAGUCCCGCAACGAGCGCAACCCUUAUCCUUUGUUGCCAGCACGUAAUGGUGGGAACUCAAAGGAGACUGCCGGUGAUAAACCGGAGGAAGGUGGGGAUGACGUCAAGUCAUCAUGGCCCUUACGAGUAGGGCUACACACGUGCUACAAUGGCAUAUACAAAGAGAAGCGAACUCGCGAGAGCAAGCGGACCUCAUAAAGUAUGUCGUAGUCCGGAUUGGAGUCUGCAACUCGACUCCAUGAAGUCGGAAUCGCUAGUAAUCGUAGAUCAGAAUGCUACGGUGAAUACGUUCCCGGGCCUUGUACACACCGCCCGUCACACCAUGGGAGUGGGUUGCAAAAGAAGUAGGUAGCUUAACCUUCGGGAGGGCGCUUACCACUUUGUGAUUCAUGACUGGGGUGAAGUCGUAACAAGGUAACC